GCCCGCGUAGCUCAAUUGGCUAGAGCGUCAGACUUUUACGAUCUGAGAUCUGAAGGCUGCGAGUUCGACCCUCGCCGUGGGCU